AGCAGCGUGGCAUAGUGGUAAUGUGCAGGGCUCAUAACCAAAAGGUUGUUGGUUCAGUUCCCUGCUGGGG